GAUGAACGCUAGCGGGAGGCCUAACACAUGCAAGCCGAGCGGUAGAGUUCCUUCGGGAACUUGAGAGCGGCGUACGGGUGCGUAACACGUGUGCAACCUACCUUUAUCUGGGGGAUAGCCUUUCGAAAGGAAGAUUAAUACCCCAUAAUAAAUUGAAUGGCAUCAUUUAAUAUUGAAAACUCUGGUGGAUAGAGAUGGGCACGCGCAAGAUUAGAUAGUUGGUGAGGUAACGGCUCACCAAGCCUGUGAUCUUUAGGGGUCCUGAGAGGGAGAUCCCCCACACUGGUACUGAGACACGGACCAGACUCCUACGGGAGGCAGCAGUGAGGAAUAUUGGACAAUGGGUGAGAGCCUGAUCCAGCCAUCCCGCGUGAAGGAUGACGGUCCUAUGGAUUGUAAACUUCUUUUGUACAGGAAUAAACCUAUUUACGUGUAAAUAGCUGAAGGUACUGUACGAAUAAGCACCGGCUAACUCCGUGCCAGCAGCCGCCGUAA
rnacentral:rRNA from 1 species